UGAAUGUCAUCACCAGCAAGAGUAAGAAGUAUUGGCAGCAGCAGGCAGGCGGGAAGGCUGGGAGUUUGCUUGGAAAUCAUAAAGUCUUUCUUGUCUUACCUUUUGAAAUUUUUUGGAAGGAGAAUUAAGAAUAGCUUGGAAACUACUCUUGUUCUUCUUUUUUUGGGGGGGAAGAAUGACCAGAAGCAUAAAAGUAAAAUCUUCCAGCAAACGCAAGAUACUGCUUUUGGUGUUUGCUGUAAAUGAGACAGAAUAAAUUUCUGUUUAUAAAGUACUGUGCCAUGACACCUAAAAUGAAGGCAAUGCUAAAGCAAAGUCAUCACUCAAAGACUGCCAUGAGAGCUUUGUCUACCUUUAACUCAUUGUGGCGAAGUUGGACAUCCCAAAGAUGGCAUAGAUGAACAUGACCAGGAAGAGCAGGAGGCCAAUGUUGAACAGGGCAGGGAGGGACAUCAUCAGAGCAAAGAGCAGAGUGCGGAUCCCCUUGGCCCCUUUGAUGAGACGCAAGAUUCGACCAAUCCUGGCGAGACGGAUGACUCGGAAUAGGGGGUUACUCCUGGCUCUGCACUCAGGAAUCACUCCUGGCGGUGCUCAGAGGACCAUAUGGGAUGCUGGGAAUCGAACCAGGGUCAGUCUCAUGCAAGGCAAACACCCUACCUGCUGUACUAUUGCUCCCGCCCCACUAUAUCUCAAUUUGCCAGCCAUUUUGUUUACUGCCUGAAUAAAAAAGAAGACUGACUGCACAAAAUCUCGAAAAAUGAAAGAAAGUCAAUAAUUUUGACAAAAACGUCUGCAUCUGAAGGCAAGCCCAGAAGUAGACAGUGAGCUGGAGUGAUAGGACAGCGGGUAGGGCAUUUGCCUUGCACGUGGUCGACCCAGGUUCAAUUCCUCCGCCCCUCUCGGGAAGCCUGGCAAGCUACCGAGAGUAUCCCGCCCGUACAGCAGAGCCUGGCAAGCUACCCAUGGCAUAUUUGAUAUGCCAAAAACAAUAACAUCAAGUCUCACAAUGGAGACAUUACUGGUGCUCGCUCAAGCAAAACGAUGAACAACAGGACGACAGUGCUCCAGUGCUACUUUACCAGCACACGGAACACAAUCAGGAAGGAGUGGAAGAAGUCAUUCAUGUGCCAGCGUGGGAGCGUACAAUCUUCAUUGAUCUUGCAGACACAUUCCUUGUAGUUCUUACCAAAGAGCUGCAUGCCCACCACAGCAAAAAUGAAGACGAUGAUGGCCAACACCAAGUGUUAAGAGGCACUGUCCUCCCUCUGACUUAUUUCACUUAACAUGAUACUCUCCAGUUCCGUAUAUUGCAGCGAACUGCAAGAUUCCAUCAUUUUUAUGGCUGCAUAAUAUUCCAUUGUUUUAAUAUACCACAACUUCUUUAUCCAUUCAUCUAUCCCGGUCAUUUGAGCUAUUUCAAUGUCCUUCUACUCUAAUAAUAUACUUCAUUGAAAAGCAAUAGAUAACAAAGAUAAGAUACCACAGAAACUGAGCAUGCUGGUUAUAUAUGAAGGGGGAAAAAAAACAACCCUUGACAGAGAGCUGAAGCUAUAUCAUGCAAGCACAGAAGUCGAAAGGUACCUAAAAGCACAUGCAUUCAAUCACAAUGAGUUAAGAUGUCUGCCACACAUUGGAGAGAUCAAUGUACAGUGGUUAAGACCAGAAGCACUGAGGCACAUAUACUGCUCGAGCACACGUUAUGCUGCUGAGUGCAGGUGGUACAGUGGAUCAGUUUUACCUGCAUCUCCCCUCUUAAGCACUUUUGGAACUCAGCUUAGAUGUUUCUGAAGAACUCUCUGACAGCCCCGUCAGUCUGCUUCUGCCGAUGCUUGUGUACUCCGCGGCUGCCAACGCUAGUGCCUGUCGGACCAAGCCGUCACGGUAGAGUAAGUCAUCGGGAACUGGAGAGGAGGCAGCUCUCUAGCAUGGACUUAAUUACACUUAUAUAUUAUUAUGCCUCUUGUAAAUGAAAGAAAUGGCUAUUUCCUUGCUCAAUGACCAGACCUCUUAACAAAGAAUUCAUUUAUUGCUUCUCCCACACUGUAAUAAAAUCCCAUUCUCCUAUGAAAUUAUAAACUUGUUACUACAUGUUUAAUAAAGUCAUUUUUUAAGUAUAUGAGAAAGUUUUACUAAGAAUGGGACAUGAAAUGACUUAGUGAGAUAAUUCGGUUAUUUGUGUAAUUAGCUCAAUAUUUCCAAUUAAAUCAGAUACUCUAACAAAAAUUGAGUUGUCGGGAAUUUAAAUUAUUUAUCACAAAAUAAUAUAUAAUAAAAGAUACUUCCAGGGGUUAUCCACCCAAGCCCCAAGUAAUCUUAGUGCUAUGCCUUUAAAAAGUUUUUUUAUUAUUAAAACAAUCCUUAUAAGAUGUAGAAAAUAAAAUCCAUUGUUAAUUAACGUAAAGAUCACUCACAAUCUUACAUCCCAGAUAGUUAUGUUAAUAUUUAUUCUAAUUUUUAUGUAUAUUUGAAAUAUUGGUAUCCUACACUCAGUUUUAUAUCUUUCUACUUAAUAUGUAGCAACAGAUUUUCCUGUGAUUACCCUAUACUUUCUGACAUUUAUUAUGAUUGAAAUAUUAUAUUAAGUGUCAUAGAGACAAAAGUAUGAAAGGACAGGUAAAAGUACUUAAACUUGCAUGCAGUUUGAUCCCCAAAUUACUACUGGGAGUGACUCAAGAUAGCUGAAAGUAACAUCUGAGCACCACUGGGUGUGGUCCAGAACUGCCGCCCCCCACAAAAAUACUGCACCAAAUUUAUUUCUGCGUCAAACCUAUCUGCAUUUUAGAUAUAUGUACUUAAAUAGACUGGAGUAGUUGAAGAGAACUAAUCUUGGCCAAAACAUUAAGGAAGUUAUUUAUUCCGUUUUAUUGAGUUCUGUGAUUUGCUAUAUUGUUAAUGAUGGUUUCUAAUUCACAUAAUUCCAAUACCAAAACCAUCAACAGUGGAUCCAACUCCCUCCUUCAGGGAUCCCAAUGUCCCAGCCCCUUUUAACUUCAUUUAUCCCACCAACUCAGUUGCGUAAAUCAGUUCUCCAGUAGUGUUGUCUUUCAUCUUUUGUUGCAAUUCAGUGAGUCUUAAGACUCUAAGAAUAUCUAAAAUUUUGGUUCUCUUAAUACAAAUCUUUUCAAAUGUUUCUGCUGAGAUACCUUGAAAGGAAAAGGUAGAAGGAACUUACAGAAAUUUACAUCACAUAGGUAUGAUUUUACUGACAUCUGAUUUUUUUAAAAAAUCCUUUCAACAUGAAUAAAAAGAAUAUAGAGUUCAUUGUUUCACAGAGUACCUUUACUUUAAUAUUAAAAUGAUGUAUCCUAUGGGUUGGGAGCGCUCAAUAGGUAGAGAACCACUUACCUAGCACAUCCAGGGCCCUGUGUUUGAUACUGGGAACUGCAUCACCGCUUUUACCCCUUGUCCAGCAGAGCAGAGUGUGACCCCUGUAGCCCCUGUGCAUUGAAUCAGCAGUCCCACACCUCUGGCACAUGGCCAGGAAUGGCCCCCAUAAAAAUAAAUAAAAGCUUACCCCAAAUCUGCGUACAACUGAUUCUUUGAGGAAUUGUAACAUAUACUCUGGGACUUUGCAUAACGCCAAAUAUACUCAGAUUUAGGAGAAACAUCCCUAGAACAUUUCUGAUGCAUAAGUAAGCUGAUUAUAGCAUGUGGUAAGGGGCAGAUGUCAGCUGUAGUUCAAUCCAGAAUUAGUUCCUUCAACCACAACGUAAUGUAGGAUUGAUUUAUGUAAAAUAAUUCAUUAGGGAAUGCCUCCCUGGGUAUUGCUGAGCUUGGAUAGG